rnacentral:lncRNA from 1 species
GCAAAGUGAACAUCCUCCCAGUUGAUUUAUCGUACGUGCGAACACCGUUUGUCCAUAAAUCCUUCAGCUCAUCAACCAGAGGCCUUAAGUACACAUCAAUUGACCUGCCAAGAUCCUCAGUUAUCAAAACAGUCAUCAUCAUGUAUUCUUUUUUCAUGCAUUUCCAAGGCGGCAAAUUAUAUGGGAAUGCGAAAAUCGGCCAAGUGCUG